AUUGAACGCUGGCGGCAUGCCUCACACAUGCAAGUCGAACGGUAACAGGCCGCAAGGUGCUGACGAGUGGCGAACGGGUGAGUAAUGCAUCGGAACGUGCCCAGUCGUGGGGGAUAACGCAGCGAAAGCUGUGCUAAUACCGCAUACGAUCUAUGGAUGAAAGCGGGGGACCGUAAGGCCUCGCGCGAUUGGAGCGGCCGAUGUCAGAUUAGGUAGUUGGUGGGGUAAAGGCCUACCAAGCCGACGAUCUGUAGCUGGUCUGAGAGGACGACCAGCUACACUGGGACUGAGACACGGCCCAGACUCCUACGGGAGGCAGCAGUGGGGAAUUUUGGACAACGGGCGCAAGCCUGAUCCAGCAAUGCCGCGUGCAGGAAGAAGGCCUUCGGGUUGUAAACUGCUUUUGUCAGGGAAGAAAUCCUCUGGGUUAAUACCCCGGGGGGAUGACGGUACCUGAAGAAUAAGCACCGGCUAACUACGUGCCAGCCGCCGCCGUAAAAC
rnacentral:rRNA from 1 species